rnacentral:rRNA from 1 species
AUUGAACGCUAGCGGGAUGCUUUACACAUGCAAGUCGAACGGCAGCGCGGACUUCGGUCUGGCGGCGAGUGGCGAACGGGUGAGUAAUGUAUCGGAACGUGCCCAGUAGCGGGGGAUAACUACGCGAAAGCGUAGCUAAUACCGCAUACGCCCUACGGGGGAAAGCAGGGGAUUGUAAGACCUUGCACUAUUGGAGCGGCCGAUAUCGGAUUAGCUAGUUGGUGAGGUAACGGCUUACCAAGGCGACGAUCCGUAGCUGGUUUGAGAGGACGACCAGCCACACUGGGACUGAGACACGGCCCAGACUCCUACGGGAGGCAGCAGUGGGGAAUUUUGGACAAUGGGGGCAACCCUGAUCCAGCCAUCCCGCGUGUGCGAUGAAGGCCUUCGGGUUGUAAAGCACUUUUGGCAGGAAAGAAACGUCGCGGGCUAAUACCCCGUGGAACUGACGGUACCUGCAGAAUAAGCACCGGCUAACUACGUG